GGGGCUGUAGCUCACCGGUAGAGUGCUUGCCUAGCACGCAUGAGGCACUGAGUUCAAUCCUCAGCCCCA
rnacentral:tRNA from 1 species